UAUCUGUUGGUAUUAUCUUUGCUUUGGUCU
rnacentral:piRNA from 1 species